UACGGGGGGGGCAAGCGUUGUUCGGAAUUACUGGGCGUAAAGGGUUCGUAGGUGGCCUGCUAAGUCGGACGUGAAAUCCCUCGGCUCAACCGGGGAACUGCGUCCGAUACUGGUGGGCUCGAGUGCAGGAGAGGAACGCGGAAUUCCAGGUGUAGCGGUGAAAUGCGUAGAUAUCUGGAGGAACACCGGUGGCGAAGGCGGCGUUCUGGACUGCAACUGACACUGAGGAACGAAAGCCAGGGAGCAAACGGG
rnacentral:rRNA from 1 species